rnacentral:rRNA from 1 species
UGGGGAAUAUUGCGCAAUGGGCGAAAGCCUGACGCAGCCACGCCGCGUGAGCGAUGAAGGCCUUCGGGUCGUAAAGCUCUGUGGGGAGAGAAGAAGAAAGAUCGUGAAGAGCGGGCCUUGACGGUAUCUCCUUAGCAAGCACAGGCUAACUCCGUGCCAGCAGCCGCGGUAAUACGGAGGGUGCAAACGUUGCGAGGAAUCAUUGGGCGUAAAGCGCACGUAGGCCGCGAAGCAAGUCGGGUGUGAAAGCCCUGGGCUCAACCCAGGAAGUGCAUUUGAAACUAUUUCGCUUGAAUCUCGGAGGGGGUCAGAGAAUUCCCGGUGUCACCUUGAAAUUCGUAGAUAUCGGGAGGAAUACCAGUGGCGAAGUCGCUGACCUGGACUACGAUUGACACUGAGGCUCAAAAGUGCGGGGAUCAAACA